rnacentral:rRNA from 1 species
UACGUAGGUGGCAAGCGUUAUCCGGAAUUACUGGGCGUAAAGCGCACGCAGGCGGUCUUUUAAGUUUGACGUGAAAGCUCCCGGCUUAACUGGGAGAGGUCGUUGAAGACUGGGAGACUUGAGGCAAUGAGAGGGGUGUAGAAUUCCCGGUGUAGUGGUGGAAUGCGUAGAUAUCGGGGGGAAUACCAGUGGCGAAAGCGGCACCCUAGCGUUAGCCUGACGCUCAUGUGCGAAAGCGUGGGGAGCAAACAGG